AAUAAAUACCUUACAGAGGUCUCGUUAACCGAGAUCUCUCAAACGGAAUGAGUACAACGUGAAUCNUUUAACGAGGAUCGACUGGAGGGCAAGCCUGGUGCCAGCAGCCGCGGUAAUUCCAGCUCCAGUAGCGUAUAUUAAAGCUGUUGCGGUUAAAAAGCUCGUAGUUGGAUAUCAGUGCGUGUCCGGUCCGGUAUGCCNGGCGGUGNCGUUCGCGCGUCGCUGCUGGGCUCCCAAAUAUCGGCUGNCCGCAUUCAAUCGUGCCGGAUCCGUCGGCGGGCCGUUCUUCGNAGGGGCCUGUUGGCGGCCGGCGANGUUACCUUNAACAAAUUAGAGUGCUCAAAGCAGGCUCUNAAUGCCUGUAUACAUAUUCAUGGAAUUGGAGAAUACGUCCCUGGCUCGAUUUGGUUGGUUUUGNGAGUCGAAGGGAAAUGAUUAAUAGGGACUGACGGAGGCAUUCGUAUUGCGACGCGAGGGGUGAAAUCNUGUGACCGUCGCACGACGAACUACUGCGAAAGCAUUUGCCGAGAAUGUUUUCAUUAGUCAAGAACGAAAGUUAGAGGUUCGAAGGCGAUCAGAUACCGCCNUAGUUCUAACCGUAAACGAUGUCGACCAGCAAUCCGCAACGGUCACUACACGGACUGUGCGGGCAGCUUCCCCGGGGAAACCAGAGUUUUUGGACUCCGGGGGAAGUAUGGUUGCAAAGCUGAAACUUAAAGGAAUUGACGGAAGGGCACCACCAGGAGUGGAGCUUGCGGCUUAAUUUGACUCAACACGGGACAACUCACCAGGCCCGGACACCGUAAGGAUUGACAGACUGAUAGCUCUCUNUUGAUUCAGUGGGUGGUGGUGCAUGGCCGUUCUUAGUUGGUGGAGUGAUUUGUCUGGUUUAUUCCGAUAACGAACGANACUCUGGCCUAUUAAACUUGACACUGUC
rnacentral:rRNA from 1 species